GACGAACGCUGGCGGCGUGCUUAACACAUGCAAGUCGAACGAAAAUACCAAGCUUGCUUGGUUGAUUAGUGGCGAACGGGUGGGUAACACGUGAGUAACCUGCCCCUUACUUUCCUGGAUAACUGCUCGAAAGGGUAGCUAAUACGGGAUAUUCUGACCAGCCUGCAUGGGUUGGUUUGGAAAGGUUGUUUUUCUGGUAAGGGAUGGGCUCGCGGCCUAUCAGCUUGUUGGUGGGGUGAUGGCCUACCAAGGCUUUGACGGGUAGCCGGCCUGAGAGGGUGGACGGUCACACUGGGACUGCGAUACGGCCCCGACUCCUACGGGAGGCAGCAGUGGGGAAUAUUGCACAAUGGGCGCAAGCCUGAUGCAGCGACGCCGCGUGAGGGAUGAAGGCCUUCGGGUUGUAAACCUCUUUCGUCAGGGAACAAGGCACUGCUUUUUUGGUGGUGUUGAGGGUACCUGGAUAAGAAGCGCCGGCUAACUACGUG
rnacentral:rRNA from 1 species